rnacentral:lncRNA from 1 species
GUAAAGUUAACUGUAUAAACGUGUUCAAUGACUUUGUUACUUUUGAUGAUUGGAGAGCACUCGCUUCAAUUUGCACACGAAAACUUUAGACUCAGUUUGAAUGCUCACGCAGCAUGCCCACGUGACUGUACGUUGCACGGUCACCUAACUUUACGUUGCACGCGUACAUGACUUUCCGUUUGUGCCUUGAAUAAUGAAUAAGGCUACGUCCACACAUACCAGCGUAUUUUUGAAACCGCUGAUUUUUCUAUGCGUUUGCACCUUUUGUCCACACGUAAUGUAUGUCUGACCGUACAUUGUGUUUGUAUUUCCAGGCACAUUUCACGAAGCAGAACGCAGUCUUCAGAGAUAUCCACGUGAACGCUGUGAUACGUCUGACCUUCAGUCCGAAGAAGAAACCCAGACCAGUCUUAAAAGAAAGCACAAACCAAAUCCCCUGUACACAUAUACGGACUCAGAGGAUGAGCAGCCUACAAAAAAAACUGUUUCCCCAGGCCCCUCGAGUGAAAAUACCAGCCCUCAUCACUCCAGUCUGCCCCCCAGCCCACUGAUAGCAACCAUCAUAAUGCCACACCCAGCUUCCGGCACCUUUCGCCACUCCGGCACAAACCGACACAGCUUUGCGAUCUCGCCAGCAUGCAGAGUCUGAUGUCUUCCCUAUAGAUGGUAUGCUUUUAAAAAAGCUUUAAAGCUGCAUCACAAUGUCAUUGUACUCUUAUCUAAAAAAAAAAAAAAAAAAACCCCAAUUUAUACUCCUGAAUGUCAUCUUGUUGUGAUUUUUUUUUUUUUUUUCCUGCAGAUUCCAGAGACUCUGUGAGGCCACCAUUACAAGGCAAGUUUGAAAAUCUUGGAAUUUCACAGUUUACAUGGUAUAACAAAUAUGUGACAGGCAAAAACUAGUAAACACUUUUAGCAGUUACAAGAACUAACAAAUGAAUAUCCAACAAAAGGGAAUAGAAAUACAUUGUACUGCCAAUACUUUGGUUUAUUCUUUGUAUGACUUGAAAAUCAGGCUUUAGGGAAAACUAAAUGACAUGUUUCUAUCAUCAAUUACAUGAAGUAAACACACAAGCACUUGCAUACACAUUUAAGACAUGAGACACGCUAAUUCCAUCUCUUAAAAUGUGUCUAUAGGUGAGACGCUUUGCGUUGAUUGGUGCUGCUGGACCACACUGGAGGUGCGAGUCCGCCGUGUAAUGGUUUAUGCCAUUACAAAGGAGCUGGCCUCUGUACUCAACUGGGCAGGGAAAAAAAACCAAGGACCAGACAAAGCAAAAAAGGGCAUUUAAAGAGACAGCGCUGUGCAGAUGCAUAUUUGGUAAGUUUUACUGUUAAUUGUAGUUUUAUGAGCCUAAAGUG